rnacentral:tRNA from 1 species
GGAAUGUAGCUCAGCUGGUAAAGCGUGUGCCUAGCAUGCACAAAGCCCUGGGUUGGAUCCCCAGCACCA